UACAGAGGUCCCAAGCGUUGUUCGGAUUCACUGGGCGUAAAGGGUGCGUAGGUGGUCGGGUAAGUCUGAUGUGAAAUCUCCAAGCUUAACUUGGAAAUGGCAUCGGAUACUAUUCGGCUCGAGGAAUGGAGGGGAGACUGGAAUACUUGGUGUAGCGGUGAAAUGCGCAGAUAUCAGGAGGAACACCGGUGGCGAAGGCGGGUCUCUGGGCCGAUACUGACGCUGAGGCGCGAAAGCGUGGGGAGCAAACAGG
rnacentral:rRNA from 1 species